rnacentral:rRNA from 1 species
GUGCCAGCCGCCGCGGUAAUACGUAGGUGGCAAGCGUUGUCCGGAUUUAUUGGGCGUAAAGCGAGCGCAGGCGGUUUCUUAAGUCUGAUGUGAAAGCCCCCGGCUCAACCGGGGAGGGUCAUUGGAAACUGGGAGACUUGAGUGCAGAAGAGGAGAGUGGAAUUCCAUGUGUAGCGGUGAAAUGCGUAGAUAUAUGGAGGAACACCAGUGGCGAAGGCGGCUCUCUGGUCUGUAACUGACGCUGAGGCUCGAAAGCGUGGGGAGCGAACAGGAUUAGAUACCCUGGUAGUCCACGCCGUAAACGAUGAGUGCUAAGUGUUGGAGGGUUUCCGCCCUUCAGUGCUGCAGCAAACGCAUUAAGCACUCCGCCUGGGGAGUACGACCGCAAGGUUGAAACUCAAAGGAAUUGACGGGGGCCCGCACAAGCGGUGGAGCAUGUGGUUUAAUUCGAAGCAACGCGAAGAACCUUACCAGGUCUUGACAUCCUUUGACCACUCUAGAGAUAGAGCUUCCCCUUCGGGGGCAAAGUGACAGGUGGUGCAUGGUUGUCGUCAGCUCGUGUCGUGAGAUGUUGGGUUAAGUCCCGCAACGAGCGCAACCCUUAUUGUUAGUUGCCAUCAUUUAGUUGGGCACUCUAGCGAGACUGCCGGUGACAAACCGGAGGAAGGUGGGGAUGACGUCAAAUCAUCAUGCCCCUUAUGACCU